UGGGGCGUCGCCAAGUGGCAAGGCAACGGACUUUGGCUCCGUCAUCCGUAGGUUCGAAUCCUACCGCCCCAGCCA
rnacentral:tRNA from 1 species